ensembl:lncRNA
CUAAACGGUCUGGCAGAUGUUGGAGAGACUCCAGACCUGGCGCGGUCUGGAGGUGCUGUGCAGGCCACUUUGUGCAACGCUGAGGAGCCGUGCUGUCCUUUUGCAGCUCGCUCCGGUGAACAAUCCAUGAUUUAUUUAUUGUGGAGCAGUUUCUGAGUCACCUCAUUCUCCAUGUAAUGAAAACAGUGAGAAAGUGAGUCAUUUAGAGAAACACAGCCUGCAGUACUCAGCUCUCACCCUGCUUCCAGGGGAGGGGAGAGCCCUGCAGGUGGGCUUGGAAGGGAGGGAGAGCAGGAGAAGCAUUUUGCUUCUCCCUGAGGAUUUUUAAUCUGACCUUGGAAAAGUCACGUAGCCUCGUUAGGAUUUAGGCCAUGAACUGGGAAUAGAGGCCUGGCCUUGCACAGAAGGGUGUUUUUUUAUAGGAUGACACUAUAAGAGCUGUGAAACUGUUGGCUUCUGUGCUAACGGGGUCUUUCCAGGAGCCUUGGGCAGGGAGGGUGAUGAAAGCACAGAUGUAAUAACUGGCUGGAAAUAUAUAAAAGGUGGAUGCAAAGACAGAGAGAGGAUGCCAUUCCCCAUGGAUAGGGGAUAGGAAAAGAAGUACUAUCCUGAAAUUACAGCAAGGAAAGAGAUGGGGAUAAUUAUUAUGAAAAAUCUUCUGGAAGUGCAGUGCUGAAUGCUGGAAUGGAUUGUCUGGGGAGAGGGAGGACUCCUCAGCCUUGGGAUUUUAACCCUGGUCAGAUGCACAUCUGCUUGGGGAUGUCCAGGUGGGGCUGCUUCAGUCUGGUUUUCUUCUGGCUGCACACAGAGAGGAGCUGACUGCACCCCUGAACAGGAUGGCUUUUAGCAGGUCCCUCUAUGACUAAUAGUUUCAGCACAUCCGAGUGCAAAGAAGACAAAUAUUUAACUUGCCUAAUUAUUUGCUUCACUCAGUCUGUCCUAGUGUUCUUUGAUAUUUUUCCUUCUCCCAGUGGCAUGGCCCAUGGGACUCUGAACUUAGUUUUCUCUUUGGAACAACCUCCCAAAACGAUCUCUGACCCUGGAUUUGAUGCUCCACACAUGGUUUUGUCACACCCCUGUGCUGUGCUGCCUGAGUGGCACCGAUGUGCAGUAAAGACCCAGCUGGCUGAGCACUUUCAGGACAAACAGAGAAGACAAUUUACUAUCUGAUUUUAUGAGAGCCAUUUGCACUUUGCAGAAUUUUUUAAGCAGCAAAACCCUUAAGAAGAGCGUUCUGAGCCUGGUACCUCAGAGAAUUGCACACACAUUUCCUGUCAGCAGCCGGAGAAUGGUGUCUCACACCUGCUAUGAAGAGAUUGAAAUAUAUUCUUAAUGGCUUGAUUGCUUUGCAUUUCCCUGGAGAUGGGAUGACACACUGUGGCGCAGUUCCUUUUCCACAAGGAGCAUCCUGAACAGCGUGGCAGAGCUGAUGCUUGCUCUUACUGAUGCUCCCUGGGAUUUAACCUGUGCUUAAGAUCUAGCUAUGCUCAUAGGGAUGCUCUGGGCCUAGGAGGCAGCAGACAUGAAUCAUAGGCAGUUGCAGGCACUGCACUAGGUCUAGUUUAAAGGUCAGCUGAUGGCUGGGAAAAAUGCCCAGAGGAAAACGUCCCUAAAACAGAUGCUUUGUUGUAUGCAUCAUCCUGGGCAGCGCUCUGGAAAACCAGCAAUGACAGAAGUUAAAACACAUUCUCCAGUUUCCUAGAGCCAUGUGGUUUGUCAGAGCAUCCCACCACUGCCAUGUGAGUGCUGCAGUGAUGCCAGGAGGACACCUUCCCACCUUGGCCAGGUAGAGCCAGCACACACCAGGGAAUGGCAGAACACACCUUCCCCUGCAUCUGCCUCUCUGUGAUGCUCCACACAAAGGCUGUCCCUAUCAGUGAUGAACCUGUUAUCACACAGCAAAUAUUCAGUACCCAACUACCAUCUAUUUCCAAGAUGCUUGAGCCUCUAACCUCUUUGAUGCAUGGGAAGGAGAUGCACUAAGGAUGACAGGCACUUCUGUAGGGUACUGUUUUAUUUCAGCAUCUUGAAGAGCUGCAUGUCACCAACCAUUAUCCUGUGGAGCUCUGUACCAGCCCACCCCACCAUGCAUCCAACACAUGGGAUGGUUUUUGUGUCUUGGUGAGAACUGGGAGCUUUCAUCCCAUGGGAACACAGUGCAGUCCCAUAUCAGACUGAUAUGAAAAGGAAACAGCGGUGUUUUUCUGCCUCAGAAUGUUUCUGUUUUUCAGACACCUGAAUAUAAACUCUGUAAAAAAGGGAUUAUAUUUGAUAUGUAAAUAUUAAUAUUUAUGAAAUAAAUCCCAAAGUUUCAACUCUUCUUUGGUUGUG